GGACCUGCUGAACCUGGGGCCCUAUAGGAGAGCACUGAUGGCCCACCCCUGAUUGUGGCCCUGGUCUUCAUGUCUGCAUCAGCCUCAGCCAUCUCAAGACCACAACGAGAACAUAGCAAAGUCAGAGAAGGAAGACCAAAAGCACCAGGGCCCUUCAUAUUAUUAAGCUGCUAAAUUAACUAAUCUUGGAAACUUCUAGACUCUACAAUUCUUGUUGUAUGAGAGUGGAUUGACAAUUAUUCUCUGGACUUUUUGGUAACCAAGAACUUCUAGCAACUAACCCUGGCAUGACCACCAGAAUCUGCAGGGCUGAGAGAAGAAAGAAAGGCAAAAGUGGAUGAAUGCAGCUGAAGAUGCUGUGGAACUCCUAUCACAUUCCAAGUGCUGUGUUGAUAUCUGGAGAUAUAGACAAGAUCGAAGCAGAUGCAGUCUUUCACAUGAAUAUUUGAAUCAGGUGAACAGGAGGGAUGAAGAACAGCAUUCUAGCACAGUACAAAACCAAACAUGAGCCAGGAGUGGGAGUAGAUGUGUGAAUAUGGUUGGAAGAGGACAUUAAGAAGGCCAAACUGACAGACCCAUGGAUUCAGACUAAGGAAGACUGGAAACUAAAUGUGGAUAAGAACAGCCAAACUAUUAAAAGACUUCGGCAGAUCAGCAAAGGAGAUUAUAAUUGAUUAAGUGGGAAAGCAAAAUGGAUUAAAUGUUUUUGAGGAGAUUGCCAUCAUAAUAAAAGUAGUGCUUUAGGAAGAUUCAUCUUGCAGCACAUGGAAGGUGGAAUAAAGGAAGUAAAUAACUUUAGGCCGGAAUACCUGCUGGCCAAUGUCAAUCUUUGACAAUGAGGUGAUAAGGUGAGGGCCAUAGUAUGAAGUGACAAAGAUAGUGAGAGAAAGGGGACCAAAUCAUAGAGGACAAAAACAACCGAUGGUGUGAAUUUGGGUAUGCGAGAAGGGAGAAAGUUAGUCAAAGCUAAUAAGACGCAAUGUGUACUAGAAAACUCCCUUUCCAGCAGGAGACUGGAGACAAAGGAAGC
rnacentral:lncRNA from 1 species